GCAGUUGGAAGGGCUUGCGUGAGCCUCACCCGCACAGCGCCGGGCACGCGAGGGGCGGGGCUUUCCGAAGCCUGGUUCGGAGUAGGCGGGGCCAGCCCCUCCCCGGUUGGAGGAGGUGGAGCAGCAGUUGCUGCCCGCGCGCCCCUAGUAACGGCCCUUGGAGCGGCGACCAUGACUCAGUCGGUGGUGGUGCAGGUGGGCCAGUGCGGGAACCAGAUCGGCUGCCGCUUCUGGGACCUGGCGCUGAGGGAACACGCCGCCGUCAACAAGAAAGGAAUUUAUGAUGAAGCAUUAAGCAGCUUCUUUAGAAAUGUGGAUACCAGAAAUGGUGGUGAUGGUGCUGAUAUUCACAAAGGAAAAAUCUUCUCUUUAAAAGCACGAGCUCUCUUGAUUGACAUGGAGGAGGGUGUAGUGAAUGAAAUUCUGCAGGGGCCAUUGAGAGAUGUGUUUGAUAGCAAGCAGCUCAUCACAGAUGUUUCUGGUUCAGGGAACAACUGGGCUGUAGGUCAUAAACUGUAUGGCUAUCAGUACCGGGAACACAUUGUGGAAAAGCUGAGGAGGACUGCAGAACACUGCGACUGUCUGCAGUGUUUUUUUGUAAUUCAUUCAAUGGGAGGUGGGACAGGAUCUGGUCUUGGUACUUUUGUACUAAACGUGCUUGAAGAUGAGUUCCCGGAAGUAUAUAGAUUUGUUACUUCAGUUUACCCUUCUGGGGAGGAUGAUGUCAUUACUUCUCCAUAUAAUAGUGUUCUGGCUAUGAAGGAACUUAAUGAGCAUGCGGACUGUGUGCUGCCAAUUGAAAAUGAAUCUUUAUUUUCUAUAGUUAGUAAAAUUCAUCAGAUGACCAGUUCUGGAAAGCUAGGAUCAACUGUGAAACAAAACAGCUUGUUAACCUCAAGUGCAGGCAGUAUCAAAACUGACCAGGAGAAGCCAUUUGAUGCUAUGAACAAUAUUGUGGCCAACUUGCUGCUGAACCUGACAAGCUCUGCCAGGUUUGAAGGUUCCCUUAAUAUGGAUCUUAAUGAAAUCAGCAUGAAUUUGGUUCCCUUUCCUCGACUUCAUUACCUGGUUUCCAGCUUGACUCCUCUGUAUACAUUGGCUGAUGUUAAUGUACCUUCUAGACGGUUGGAUCAAAUGUUUUCAGAUGCUUUCAGCAAAGACCACCAGUUGAUUCAAGCAGACCCAAAGCAUAGCUUGUACCUUGCCUGUGCACUUCUGGUUCGAGGAAAUGUACAGGUUUCAGACCUUCGCAGAAACAUUGAAAGGUUGAAGCCUUCCCUUCAUUUUGUCUCAUGGAAUCAAGAAGGCUGGAAAACUGGCCUAUGUUCAGUACCUCCUGUGGGCCAUUCUCACUCAUUGUUGGCAUUAGCAAACAACACGUGUGUGAAACCGACCUUUACAGAGCUCAAAGACAGAUUCAUGAAGCUCUACAAGAAAAAGGCUCACCUUCACCAUUACUUGCGUGUUGAUGGGAUGGAGCAAAGCUGUUUCUCCGAAGCCAUAUCAUCCUUGUCAGAUCUAAUAGAGGAGUAUAACCAGCUAGAUGCCACUAAAAGUGUGCCUGGAACAUAUCCCUCAAGACUGAAGAUAGCUAUGUAACAGAGGAAGAAUUGCUGUUAUUUGUAGAACAGCAAACUGCCUAAGCUACCUGGAUGGGUUAUGAAAGCAGCUAGGACUAAUCAUUCCACAGAGAUGCUGCUACUGUCUCUCUCCAGGCUGGCUGGGAGUGUUGUAUCAAGUGCUCAGACUGUGGAAAAAGGACCAACAUAUAUCACACACUAGCAGAAAAUGGGCUGCUGAGAUGUUGGCCUCCAUUAGGGGCCAUUGGACCUGGCAGAGCCCAGGAGGAUUUUGAACUGGAGGAUUCCCAGCAGCUGCAGUUCCCAGCAUGUCCUGAAGGAAGGAGUUGGCAUGCACGAAAAACUGUGCAAGCCCAGGACCUAGCAUCAGGCUGUUCCUCCCUCUGGAUCCCUAGGCUCUAGGAGGGUAGGGGAUGUGAGUAUCUGGGCUGGGGGGGCCCACCGCUGGCCUUUAUGAGGGAGGGAUGUGACUGUCUGACCCCCUGGCUGGGCUCUAGAUAGGAAGGGGGCAGAGAAACAACUGGGUAGUGACAGGGGUUUCUUUAACUCUCUUCCUGGGAGAAUUUAUGUAUGUGUCUGUAUUGUUACAGAGCUAAUUGCUGAAAGGUAUUUUGAAAUAAAUUACCAAAAUAAUUGAAACAAGGGUGUUUAUAUAGUAUUAUAUUAAAAUUUUGCAAAUUUUAUCAAUUGUGUGCACAGAAUUCCCCCAGGAGUAGAUUAUAGCGCAGGUCCUCAUGUGGUAGUGCCAAGGGUUAACUAUAAAUUUAAUUCCAGAAGUUAAUUUUUGAGUCCGUCACUCUGCAGUGUUUCAUUAUUGGCUUGGGUCUAUAAAAUCAUGGUUUGAAAUCUAAGAUGGAUAGGCAUGUGACCCACAAAGUUCAUUUUUUAAAUCAAAGGAAAUUUUUAUUUAGAUUUAAAUAUCUGCCAAGAGUUUGUAACCCAAAAAUUGUAACAUCAUGGUAAUACAUGAAAACCAGAAAGUAAAACUGGACAUGUAAACAAACUUGACUUUCCAUUCAACUGGAAUCAAAGGCAGAAAAGUUCCAUUUAAGGCCUGGUUCCUGAAAUGGAAUCCCUAGUGCACUGAGCCCUGUGCACAGAGCAGUCUCUAUCCAGGAAGGCUCUGACAAAUGGGGAAAAUUCUUCCAUGGAUGUGCCAGCAAAGGAUUAAAAGCAAUUUCUGGGUCUAUUUAGACCUGCCAACUCUCUAUGGGUUUUCAGACCUUUCUACAGGACUGGGUGAAAAAAACUUGUCUAUGGAGGGAAAUGCUGCUCUAAUUAGCUGCCUGUCCCCAUCACCUGUAUCUUGGGAAAAGACAGUCAAUCAGAGGUGGUGUAUGAGCUGAAUAACUGCAUGGACCCUCAGCAUGUGUAGCAACCAGUGAUCCUUCCCUUCCCCUGCAAACACGGGGCUGGAAUGUUCAGCCCUGUGAAUUGAAAGCCAACUGGGAAACAGUUGCUUUGCAGUUCUCAUUGUGUUCCACAGUUUAUCCAAAUUCCUGAAUUCAUAGCAAGGGCUGGAGCUGCUCUUCACUCUCAAUAAAAAUGAAAAUUCACCUUAAAAUUUCUGUUUUAUUAACGUGCCGGGAAGAAGCAACAUCUUGUCUUGCAGGUAUAUAAAAUUAUAAUUCCAAUCUAUUAAUACAUUUUAAUUGGUUUAAAUGAUUUGGUAUCCGAUAUUCCAGAUGGCUCCGUUUCUCCUUGGUUAGAUUAACAUCAUUCUCUAAAAGUGUGCAAUUCAUUCAUUUGAACUCAGUUGGUUUUCUGAGUUCCUUUCCUAUUGUGUAUGGUUUUAGUCCCAGUUUUGGAUAAAUUCUGUAAAAAGGAAUUGCUAUCCUUCAUGUCUCGUCUGAGGCUACGUGUUCACUACCCGCCCUAUCGGCAGGUAGCAAUCGAUCCCCGAACGUGCUUAUUAUCAAUUCCGGAACUCCACCAACCCCAACGGAGUUGCGGAGUCGACAUGGGGAGCCACGGACAUCGAUCCCAUGCCAUGAGGACGGUGAGUAAUUCGAUCUUAGAUACUUCGACUUCAGCUACGUUAUUCACGUAGCUGAAGUUGCGUAUCUGAGAUCGAUUUUCCCUUGUAGUGUAGACCAGCUCUGAGUAUCAAAUGUAUCAUUUAAAUGUAGGAUAAGGUUCCAUUUUUUAGGAUAGCUUGCAUAAGCACUUGAACUUCUUGAAAGCUUGUCCAACCUGAAUUCCAGAUUUUGGGGUUAACUACCAGCGUGUGUGUAUAAAUUUGCUAUAGCCUGGCUGGCUCACUUGUUUGCAUGCUCCUUCCUAUAUAUCUGCAAUACUUGAAUCUGGUUUGUUCUUGAGCCUCGGGCUACCCUUAGUUUUAU